AUUAGAUACCCUGGUAGUCCACGCAGUAAACGAUGAAUGCUAGAUGUCCGGGUCGAAUGAGACCUGGGUGUCACAGCGAAAGCGUUAAGCAUUCCACCUGGGGAGUACGCCGGCAACGGUGAAACUCAAAGGAAUUGACGGGGGCCCGCACAAGCGGAGGAACAUGUGGUUUAAUUCGAUGAUACGCGAGGAACCUUACCCGGGCUCAAACGUGGAAGGAAUGAGUGUGAAAGCAUUCAGUCCUCCGGGACUUUCCACGAGGUGCUGCAUGGUUGUCGUCAGCUCGUGCCGUGAGGUGUCGGCUUAAGUGCCAUAACGAGCGCAACCCCCAUCGACAGUUGCUAACAGGUAAAGCUGAGGACUCUGUCGAGACUGCCGGCGCAAGCUGUGAGGAAGGCGGGGAUGACGUCAAAUCAGCACGGCCCUUACGUCCGGGGCGACACACGUGUUACAAUGGCAGGGACAGCGGGAAGCCAUCCGGCGACGGAGAGCGGAACCCGAAACCCUGUCUCAGUUCGGAUUGGAGUCUGCAACUCGACUCCAUGAAGCUGGAUUCGCUAGUAAUCGCGCAUCAGCCAUGGCGCGGUGAAUACGUUCCCGGGCCUUGUACACACCGCCCGUCAAGCCAUGGAAGCCGGGAGUGCCUGAAGUACGUGACCGUAAAAGGAGCGUCCUAGGGUAAAACCGGUGACUGGGGCUAAGUCGUAACAAGGUAACAAGGGCGA
rnacentral:rRNA from 1 species